GGUCUUUUGAGAAAGAGCUACUCUUCUCCCUGUUUGACUUUGCAAUCAAUGCUAUAUUUUCCUUCACCAUAGUCUGGUGCCGGUUAAGUCGGCUUUGCUGUGCGGCAUGAGAAUCCAAGUUUAGUUCCACAAAAAUUGUGGUGAUUACCGAGGGAGAGCAAACCUUGAGUGAGUAUCUUACCUUGGCACACGGACUCCUUACUAGCUACGUCACUUGGAUCCUCUCCAGCCAAGCCUGGACAUGUUUGCCUCACAGACUGUCCUGAGCACUUGCCGCGAAGGCACAUCUGCCUACGUGCUUUCCAUUCCCACAUUCCCUGAUGAAGGAAACAAAAGAUCCUGCUGUGUAAGAUACUUCUGUCACUUAGGUCGUGUCUGAUGCUUUGUGACCCCAUGAACUGCAGCACGCCAGGCUUCCGUAUCCUUCACUAUCUCCUGGAGUUUGCUCAAACUCAUGUUCAUUGAGUCAGUGAUGCAAUCCAACCAUCUCAUCCUCUGCCGCCAUCUUAUCCUUUUUUAUUCAAUCUUUCCCAGCAUCAGGGUCUUUUCCAGUGAGUCGGCUCUUCGCAUUAGGUGGCCAAAGUAUUAGCGAAGGGUGUAUAUUGUAUAUUGUAUAUUUCACCCUUCACCUGCAGCAUCAGUACUUCCAAUGCAUAUUCAGGGUUGAUUUCCUUUGGGAUUGACUGGUUUGGUCUUACUGUCCAAAGACUCUCAAGAGUCUUCUCCAGGACCACAGUUUGAAAGUAUCAAUUCUUUGGCACUCAGUCUUCUUUCUGGCCCAACUCUCACAUCCAUCCAUAACUAACUACUGGUAAAACCACAGCUUUGAGUAUAUGUACCUUGGUCGGCAAAGUGAUGUCUUUGCUUUUUAAUAUGCUAUCUAGGUUUGGCAUAAUUUUCCUUCCAAGGAGUAAAGUCUUAUAAUUUUAGUCACCAUCUGCAGUGAUUUUGGAUCCCAAGAAAGUAAAAUCUGUCACUGCACCCCGUUUUGCCCCAUCUAUUUGCCACGAAGUGAUGGGACCAUAUGCUAUGAUCUUAGUUUUUUGAGUGUUGAAUUUAAGCCAGCUUUUUCAAUCUCCUCUUUCACCUUCAUUAAGAGGCUCUUUGGUUCUUCUUCGAUUUCUGCCAUUAGAUUGAGGUCGUUGAUAUUUCUCCCAACAAUGUUGAUUCCAGCUUGCCCUUCAUCCAGCCCAGCAUUUAGCAUGAUGUAUUCUGCAUGGAAGCUAAAUAAACAGGGUGACAAUAUACACCCUUGCUGUAUUCCUUUCCUAAUUUUGAACCAGUCAGUUGUUCCAAGUACAGUUCUAAUGGUUGCUUCUUGACCCACAUACAGAUUUCUCAGGAGGCAGGUAAGGUGGUUUGGUAUUCCCAUCUCUUUAAGAAUUUUCCAGUUUGUUGUGAUGCAUAGUCAAAGGAUUUAGUGUAGUUAAUGAAGCUGAAGUAGAUGUUUUUCUGAAAUUCCCUUGUUUUUUCUAUGAUCCAAUAAAUGUUGGCAAUUUGAUUUCUGGUUUCUCUGCCUUUUCUAAACAAGCUUGUACAUCAGGGAGUUCUCAGUUCACAUACUGUUGAAGUUUAGCUUGAAGAAUUUUGAGCAUAACCUUACUGGCAUGUGAUAUAAGAGCAAUUAUACAGUAGUCUGAACAUUUUUUGGCAUUGCCUUUCUUUGGGAUUGGAAUGAAAACUGACCUUUUCCAGGCCCGUGGCCACCGCUAAGUUUUCCAAAUUUGCUGGCGUAUUGAGUACAGCACUUUAACAGCAUCAUCUGUUAGGAUUUGAAAUAGCUCAACUGGAAUUCCAUCACCUCCACUAGCUUUUGUGUGUAGAACCGCCUCACACACAAAUGCCAAGAGUCUCACACCCAGUCCCACGGCGUUUAGGGCAGGGGAUAGAGUCCUAGAUGUAGAGGUCUGAUAAAAGAAUCCACCUGGGUAGGGGGUAUGCAUGGACUCUGAAUUGGUUUGCUUGCAUAUCAAAGUUUUGCUGGCAGGCAUGUUGUUAGCAACACUGAUUCAAAAGACUUGAGUUUGAGCAAACUGGAAGAUAGAGGAGGACAAAGGAGCCUAGCAAGCUGCAGUCCAUGGGGG
ensembl:lncRNA